rnacentral:rRNA from 1 species
UGUAGAGUUUGAUCCUGGCUCAGAUUGAACGCUGGCGGCAUGCCUUACACAUGCAAGUCGAACGGUAACAGGUUAAGCUGACGAGUGGCGAACGGGUGAGUAAUGUAUCGGAA